rnacentral:rRNA from 1 species
UACGAAGGGGGCUAGCGUUGCUCGGAAUCACUGGGCGUAAAGCGCACGUAGGCGGCUUUUUAAGUCAGGGGUGAAAUCCUGGAGCUCAACUCCAGAACUGCCCUUUGAUACUGAGAAGCUUGAGUCCGGGAGAGGUGAGUGGAACUGCGAGUGUAGAGGUGAAAUUCGUAGAUAUUCGCAAGAACACCAGUGGCGAAGGCGGCUC